rnacentral:rRNA from 1 species
UUACGUGGGACGUAAAGACGCAUGCAGGCGGCGUUGUUAAGUCAGAUGUAGAAAGGACCCCGGGGACCGUUUAACCCGUACCGGUAAAGUUGCUAUUUAGUAAACGUAGGCGAGGCUAGAGUCUUGUAGAGGGGGGUAGGAAUUUCAGGUGUAGCGGUGAAAUGCGUAGAGAUCUGAAGGAAUACCAGUGGCGAAGGCGGCCCCCUGGACAAAGACUGACGCUCAGAUGCGAAAGCGUGGGGAGCAAACAGGAUUAGAUACCCUGGUAG